GCGGGGGUAGAGACGCAGGGUGAGGAGCACCCGUCGGAGGCGCUUGAUGCGGCUCCCCCGUCACUCCUCCUUCUAUGCCCACUGCUGGUGCUCCCCCGUCGCUCCUCCUCCUCCAUCGUGAUGCGCUGCACUUGGCCGCAGUUCUACUCCAGGGUUAGGAUUUUCUAUUGGAUUGGUGACUGCUGUGAGCUGGUAAUAUGUCAUGCUCGGCCAUCCCGUUGCAGGUUGCCACCAAUGGGAAUACAGCCAGUGGACUGGUUUUGCUUGUCAGCGACCAAAACAAGAACAAGUCAAUUCUUAUAUGUACGUAUUCAAUUUGUGGAUGAUUGGAGGCUCUGUGUUCAUAGUUUAUAUGGGUCAUCUUUAUAUCUGGGCCAUGGUGGUUGUGAUUCAAAUAUUUUAUGGAAACAGAGCUUUUUAACCUACUUAGAAGAUUGAGCGAAGAGAGACAGCUGCAAGGGUUCAGGUUGCCGAAUUGGUAGCUUAUAGGCAUUCUGAUUAUACUAUUAUUUGAACCAGUAAAUCGUCAAUGAAUUAGCUAUCACCAAUUUAAUAUAUUUCAAAUGUACAUAUAUUCUUGUGGGAACAAGUUUUAUCACACUUCUUCACGGCAUUCUUAAUCAGGAGCUUGAUAACAGAAUAACUUCAGAUUACUUGAUGUAUAAGGUCGUCAGCAGCAUAAUAAAGUAUCCGAAGUUUAAUCGCUAUUUUCCUUUAUAAAUUGCAGGUA